GAUGAACGCUAGCGACAGGCCUAACACAUGCAAGUCGUGGGGCAGCAGGUAAUGCGCCUGCCACGUAUGUCAGCGACCGACGCACGAGUAACUAACGCAUAACCAACCUGUAAAUCUCACAGAACUACGCUUACGCAGACCUAAUACCGAACAAAUGUUUUCACUGUUUUGUUCGAAAGUUUAAGAAAAUCCUGCUGGCACUGAUAGAUGGAGCUGCGUUGCAUUAGCUAGUUGGUAAGGUAACGGCUCACCAAGGCAACGAUGCAUAGCCGACCUGAGAGGGUGAUCGGCCACACUGGAACGGAGACACGGUCCAGACUCCUACGGGAGGCAGGAGUAGGGAAUCUUCCGCAAUGAGCGAAAGCCUGACGGAGCAACGCCGCGUGAGUGAUGAAGGUCUUCGGAUCGUAAAACUAUGUUAUUAGGGAAGAACAUAUGGGUAAGUACCUGUGCACAUCUUGACGGUACCUAAUCAGAAAGCCACGGCUAACUACGUG
rnacentral:rRNA from 1 species